rnacentral:rRNA from 1 species
UCAGAACGAACGCUGGUGGCGUGUCUUAUACAUGCAAGUCGAGCGAGGCAGCAAUGCCGAGCGGCGAACGGGUGAGUAACGCGUAAGCAAUCUGCCCCAUAUCAGGAAAUACCCGUGCCAACGCGCGGUUAAUGUCCAGGAGAGUGGCCUUCCGCAUGGAGGGUUGACUAGAGAUUUAUCGGUAUGGGAUGAGCUUGCGUCCGAUUAGCUAGUUGGCGGGGCAACGGCCCACCAAGGCGACGAUCGGUAGCCGGCCUGAGAGGGUGAUCGGCCUACAUUGGGACUGAGAUACGGCCCAGACUCCUACGGGAGGCAGCAGUAGGGAAUAUUGCACAAUGGGGGAAACCCUGAUGCAGCAACGCCACGUGUGGGGAAAGAAGCAUUUCGGUGUGUAAACCACUGUCAUGAGGGAAUAAGGCCUGUCUUCGGGCAGGAUUGAAUGUACCUUGAGAGGAAGCACCGGCAAACUUCGUGCCAGCCGCGGC